UGGGGAAUAUUGCACAAUGGGCGGAAGCCUGAUGCAGCGACGCCGCGUGAGGGAUGACGGCCUUCGGAUUGUAAACCUCUUUCAGUAGGGACGAAGCGUAAGUGACGGUACCUGCAGAAGAAGCACCGGCUAACUACGUGCCAGCAGCCGCGGUAAUACGUAGGGUGCGAGCGUUGUCCGGAAUUACUGGGCGUAAAGAGCUCGUAGGCGGUUUGUCACGUCGUCUGUGAAAUCCUAGGGCUUAACCCUGGACGUGCAGGCGAUACGGGCUGACUUGAGUACUACAGGGGAGACUGGAAUUUCUGGUGUAGCGGUGGAAUGCACAGAUAUCAGGAAGAACACCGAUGGCGAAGGCAGGUCUCUGGGUAGUAACUGACGCUGAGGAGCGAAAGCAUGGGUAGCGAACAGG
rnacentral:rRNA from 1 species